rnacentral:lncRNA from 1 species
AUACAUGUUCCAGGGCCAACCCGAGAUUCCAUUCUACGGACGGGAACGGGAUCCGACGGAGAAAAGAAAACGGAACGCAUGAGCCCAGCACGACAGCACAAGACAUCAAUCAUUACUCGUUUCAUUCUUUAAUAAUGGAGCAGCACUAGCAGUACUACCAGUACAUUAAUCUUACAGAAGAAAAAAGAAUAGAAUAGAGAUUACAAAAAUCAGCCGAGGGAGCCACGGCACCGCCACAUGCGCGCCAGCCUUACUAUACAUACAAUUCCAUUUCCAUUGUGGGGGCAGGAGGAGGCACAGUAGUACCCUAAAAUACUACGUGCUCCACCGCUUAUUAUUGGUGUGGCGUGCCCCCGGUCCCUCCCCUGCGUGCAUGCAUCCCUAGGGCUCAACUUACACAUUUAACUAGCCCUGGGAGCAACAAUGGCUUAUUUACCAUAGUAUAACAGUAGUAGUAGUAGUAAUACACAAUUAAGCAUAUUAAUUUAAUUUAAUUAAUCCAAUUCCCAUUUGAGAACCCAGCACUGCCUCCGGAGCUACUUAAUUAGUCGGCCAUUUUUUGAUUUUUAGAGUGCAUUUAUAGAGCAGAUUUUCAGGCGCGUCUUUUAGUGGGCGCGCCUGCGGCGACCCCGGCGUCGGCCUGGGCCUGGGCCUUGGCCUUGUGCGCGGCGGCCUUGGAGCCGCUCCAGUUCCUGCCCUUCCUCUUGGGGUGCACGGAGCCGGGCGUGGACCGGGGGAUGAAGACGCCGGUGCCCUUGCUGCCGCACUGCUGCUGCUGCUGCUGCUGAGGUUGCUGCUGCCACGUUCUCCCGCCGUCGCCGGCGCCGUAGCUGGCGGCGUGGUGGAACAGCGUGUAGGCCGGUGGCGCCAACAUCGACGGCACAUGGGGCGCCAUGGACAUGGAGAAACCCUGGACGAUUCCGAAUCAAAAUCGCUAGCUGUUAGCUGCUGCACAUGAUGUGAUGCGAUGCGAUCGUGCAUGCAUGUAGUAUGCCCAAGCUUGAUUAUUAACUUGCUUAUUAAAAGAAAACUAAGAAAAAUCCGGUGGCCAAUGGCUGUAUAGCAGGAGGCGGCAACUAGCUAGUAAUUAAGGUUGCUACUGAACUCAUGGCAACUUGCGUGCAUGCAAAGAUUUCAUCUCAGCGCUAGCUACUCGAUCUUGUCACGUAGCAGGGAUUUUAUUCUUUAAAAAAGAAAAAAGAAAAAAGUGCUAGAAACAUCAUAUUUGUACGUAGAGAAAAGAAAAGGGGAGAAAAAAGCAAGCAUGCAGUACGAGUCGCAUGAUGAAGGGUUUGUGUGCAAGCAAUAUGGAGUAGAUAGAUCGGAGGCUAAGCAAAAGUCCAAAGCAACAUGGAUCACUUGGUCGUAUGCAACAUGAUAAGUGUCUGGACGAUCGAUUCUACUCCUCUACCCCUACUAGUUAAAAACAAUUGAUUCCUUGUCAAUCAUGCAGGGUGAGCAAUGACUGUGCAAGUACUAAUCGGCACCGUCUACGUACGUGCGACGGUAACUAAACUGAUUAACUAACCGGGCCGGGGGUUAAAAGUGGUAAUCUUUGGAGCGGUAAAGUACGUGGUAAUUACGCACCGCAUGUUGGCGCCAAGGGCGAGAGAUAGGGAGAGGGACAUGUGCGGCGACGACGCGGAUGGUCUACAGCCAUGUGUGCGUGGGGUUGCGUGGGGAGGGCGUACCUUGCAAGCUUCUACUUCAGGAAUGGCUAACGAGAGGGACAUGUUUCUUUCUCCGUGGUUCUGACCAUGAGUGAAUAUCACUAAGUGCACCGCACGUCUGACCCUUUCCUGGCUAAUUAGAGCGUCCGGGUUAGCAGAUCGAGCAGAUUAGUUGCUCUCUACUUGUUCCAUUCCUGCUCUCGCCGGGAAAGGUACUACUCCUGCUGGUUAAGGUGGUGCCAAGCUCACUUGAGAACUUGACACAACAAAGAGUGCUGCUCACACGCAAUUCUUUCGGAAUCGGUGGAAUUAAUGCAAUCCAAUCCAAUCCAAUCCGAUCCAAGCAGGUUCUUUAUUAGGCUUAAAUGUAAACAAAAAAAAGGGUUUGUCCGCCGUGGCAGAGGGCCUUGGGGCCCCACCCCCGGAGCAGGAUUUGGCAAUGGCAACUUGCGAAAAUGGUCAAUUUCACACAAAAGGUGUUUUGGUUUCCUCUAAAUGCACCGGCUCUCACACUGACGUGCGCACGAAAGGUACAUCCAUGCGCGCCCAUGUAAACUCCUGGAUGGCUGAUGCUUAUCCAUCAAAAAAUUCUGCGCGUAAACGAAAUUCUGCGCGUACGCUCAUGCAACUGGGCCAGCGACAGGCAGCCACUCGAUCCCCGGAUCCACGCCACGACCAUCUUAAUCAGCCAGUUAACUAACUAAUUCACUGCCCUGUAAGGCUGUAAGAACAACACAUAGCGCCUGGCGCACAUGAGGAUGCUAAGCAGGUAAUUAUUAGUGGGGCAAGGCGGUUGCUUACACUACUAACUGAAGAAGUCCUGGCAUGGUUGGAGAGACCACGAACGACAUGGCCGUUCAUGCAUAAGUUGCGUUGUCUUCUUCGGCUGUUCCGCUUUUAAUCAGGGGAGGGGAGGGGAGGGCGAGCAGAAAAGUAUGGUUUGGUGUGAUUUUGAUUUGAUUUGGUCGUGUGUGCAAGCGCAACCAUGUCAUGUGGCCGUGCUAGCCGCAACUAAUAACAGGUACCAAGUUGGUACUAGCGCCACCAACUAACUACCAAUCGAGUAGAGAAGCCCCUAGCCAGCCAGCCAGCUGCAAGAAACCCAACAGAAGCAGAGCUAACUAACUAAACCGAUCAAUCGAUCGAUCGAGCUCGGUAGCUCGCCACACACGACACGCAUGCCCGGCGGCGGUAGAAAUGGCAAGAUAGGAAGCAAAGCAGGAAGUAUGAAAGGGAUGGAAGGGCGGAGGGCUCACCGGUGGGAGGUGGACGGCGGCGGGGAACUGCGAGGCGGCGAAGUCGGCCUCGUCGUCGUCGGUGAUGAGGAGGGAAAUCCGCUUGCUGAGCUCCGCGAAGAAGAGGUCGUCGUCCAGCUGCAUCUCCACCUCCAUCUCGCUUCUCCUUGAGCUGUUGCGGGCCGAGCUUGCUUGCCGGAGCUGGAGCGGUUGCUUAGCAGCAGAGGACGGACGGAGAGGGGCGGCAGGGAAACAGAGAGGCCUGGUGAGCUCGGGCGCAGGGGGGCGCUUUAAUAAGAUUUUUCCAGGGCAAGCCGGGGUGGGGUGGGGCCGGUGGAGCAGUUGGCCAAUCCCUAGUUGGAAAGGUCGUGGGCCCCACGAAUGUGCGGGCGCCUGCCGCACACACAAUCUGGUCUCUGCGGUGAGGUGCGCCCCACAUCAUCACACGAAACAUAGGGGGCCCGCAUGUCAGUAAGGGGGCUGGCCUUUUAUUUCUCUAACCCGAAAGGAAAAGUAACUCUGCUCCAGGCACGAAUUGCGGAUGGAGACAGCUGCGAUCACGGUGACGAUGAGAGCAUGGUUAGUAUAGCCAGCUACUGGCUAUAAGUCAGUGCCAUGUUAUAUACAGCCCAUUUUAUAGCCAACAUGUAUAAUAGUAGAUUAAAAAAGUGUACUGCUUUGUUAUUAUGUGGCCUACCUUUCAUUCUCACAAAGUGUCUAGGAGCACGCGCUAGAGCUGUCUUUUUAUGAAGAGCCCGCUUACCUUCUCUCUACUAUUCUGUUUCCUCCAACUAAGCAGAAAUAUACUGGUUUAUUUCUUACAGCCCGCUGACUCAGCUCUAUUAUACUUGUUAUGAGCUACUGGAUCCACUUUAUCCGUUUCUGUUUCUGGCCAGGCAGACAGGGACGACGGUCGGAUGGGUUGGAUGGACGGCACUCCACGAUUUUCAGCCGUGAUAGUUCCUUCCUUCCUUCGUUGUCGAGCGAACGGUUCCAACACCGAAUCCAUCCGCACAGUGUUUUCAUUGGAUUGGAUCAUCGGAAUCCCAGGCAGGGAAUGAAGUCUGGAUCCGGUGACGCCCGCCAGGGCCGCCGGACGGGCGCAACUAAUCCUACGGCCUAUGUUUUCGCAAAAAAAUAAAAUCCUACGGCCUAUGGGAGGGAGAGAAAGUGACGGGUUAUUUAUUAUUAUUAAUUAAUUAUUAUAAGCGCGGCAUUAUCUUUGCUCCUGGAUGGAAUGGAAGGGAGGAGAGGAUGAGGAGGCUCCGGCGCCGAGUUGGCCACCGAAGCCAGCCGCAUCGCGAAAUCCGGGGGGCUUCACGACGGCACGCACCGCAUCGUCCGCUGGCUCUGCCCGCCUGCCCACAUGGCCACCAGGGUGGGGUGGGCUGCCGGCCGUCCUCUUCAGUCCCGGACGCCGGGCCCCACCCACGCUUUCCUUUCCUUUCUCUGCACCUGCGAACGAAUGAAUGAAUGACCGCAUCUGCAUCAGCAGGCUGUACUCUGAUGUGAUGAGCCCAGGCCGAGCUCAUCCAAACACAGCACGAUUCCCGAAAGGCUGGCCAUGUCGCGCAGCCGUCACGGUAGUCAAGCACGUCGCACUAAACAAGGCAUUUAGUACUCCCUCCAUUCCAAUGUAGUGCUUCCUCUAUCUUCAUGCUUCAACUUUGACCGUAAAUUUAACUACCAAGACCGAUUGCGGCGGGAGCAAAAAUUAUAUCAGUGAAUUCGUAUUCGAAAGAAGUUUUCAAUUAUGUAAUUUUUUCACCCGCCGCAGUCGGUCUCGUUCGUUAAAUUUAUGGUCAAAGUUCGACCUCGGGAAGCGCGGGCGCACUAUAUUUUGGAAUGGAGGGAGUACCAAGUACACCGCCAAAUCGCAUUUGGACUACCCACAAUGAUAGGUAGUAACAUCACACAUAUCUAGAUAAAAUAGAUGAUGUGGCAAGCAAUAAAUGAAGAAAAAAAGCAAAGUGGUAACAUAGCUAGUUACUAGUAGUAGUAACAUCACACAUAUCAAGGCAAGAUGUGUCUAUAGCCUAAUAAAUGAAAGGUUGCAUGUUAUCACAUAUAUGUUACUCCCCACUAUAGAGGUAGUAACAUAGACUAGUAACAUGACAUGUUACUGGUCUAUGUUACUACCUAUUGUGGCUAGUCUUAGGUGCUCGUUGGUGGCCGUCUCUACUGGUGUAAUGUAGUAAUAGACUAGUACUAGAACUGUACCACUACUGUUUUUCCAGCCGAGGUGGUGGUGAUCAUCAUCAUGGGAGUGGAGAGGGAGAGGGAGAGGGAGAUCCAUUCCGAUUACGAGGGCGGCAACAGUGGUUCCCAUCAUGGGCCUGGGCAGGGGUUGGCCGCUGCCCCUCGGUUCCUAUCCGAAACCCCCGGCCCCGGGGGAUUGGAUCGGAUUGGAUGAACCACCUAGACCUAGCCAGCCAGCCAGCGAACCGGCGCCGAUCAAAGGCAGCGCACGCUCCACGUCCGCCUCCUCCCACUGGGCUGGGCCGGGUGGGGGCGGCCGCCCGAGGCCACUCGCUCGCUUGCUGCUAUACGCAUUCUGUUUCCAUGUGCACGUUACGUUAACCUCCCUCCCUCCAGUCUCGCUGGGUGGAUGGCGCGUACGUACGGCCACGGGAGUACGGCGAGCCGUUUUUGGACGGGAGGGAGGGGUGGGGCGAACGACUGGUGAUGCCGCGCGCGUGCGCUUGUGUGGCUGCGCGCCGCCCUCCUCCCCCGGCCUGUGGGCGGGGCCGUUGGUCCGACGCCGACGUAGGCCUGGCGUUUGGAUGUUUGCGCGCCGGUGGCUCGUGUGGUGGAGUAACUUGCAGCGCCGACGGGCGACAACUAGGGGCUGGCCCGCCGGCAGCUGUGCACGUUGUGCGCAGGCUGUCAGUGACCAGCGACCAGCUUGGGCGAACGUGUGCGCCUUGCGGGUUGCGACUCGGCUGGCACUGGCAAGUUGCAACAUAGUACUAGUAUGUGGUACCUGCAAUCAGGGUCUGAGUAACAGUGCAUAUGGCUGCCUUGCCGCAUGAGCAGUCGGCAGAGUGGACUUCAUUCAGGCUGCUGCCAUGCCUACGUGAGCAGUAGAGCCCACGAGGUAUUUUUGUCAGCACGAGGGUUUUGCCGCAGAAUGUGAAGGCGGUGGGCGCUGCGUCGCCGAAUCUCUUGAAUCUUUUCACUGUUGAUUACGGUUCUGGCAGUGGGAGGGAACGGGGGUGAACAUCGUCAGAGACGGCGAUGCCCAGGGUGUCGAGCGAGUCCGUCCAACACAGGAUUCACAGGCAACCAAUACAUCGUAGUAUUAAUUUCAGUCCUCUUGCUCAAUCUCGCCAUCAGCCAACUGGGCUUCUCCAGGAUAAAUAAUAAGUGCAUGUUAUCAAAACAGGUUGCCGACACCAGUAGUAGUAGUGGCAGCAAAAAAUCCACACCAAUAUGUACACGGAUUCACAGGCUUUAGAUGCUUUUACAUGUUUGGGUACGCCCAAUCUCCGCCACGGCUUUACAUUUGUACUGUACAAUUCAUACUCGUAAUUCUCCAAAGACUCUGCCCGCUAACCAGAAACAAAAAGAAACUUCGGGAGCUGAUGAAGCCCCAUACACCAUCAUUUUUCAGCUUAUUAUUCACACAUCCUCAGCGUGAAGAGCAAACUGUCAAGCAGAAAAAAAAAAUUAGACAUUGUAUAAAAAAACAAUUACACGGAUAUCAUUUUUCAAGACGGUUUAAAUUCACUCAAUGUCUCUACAAUGUGAGAUAGUCAGACAGUUUUGGUUUCUUGGUCUAGAACUUUAGUGUGUCAAUAUAGGUAGGGAAUGCAAAAUGAUGCUACAACUUUGACGCUACCAAGUAAUUUGCUUUGUCAAGCCCUUCUGACCCGCUAACUGGCCCAGUAAAAGAUCCACCCCUAAUAUGUAGUUUCGAGUUCAGAUCCACCAAAUUAAAGGAAACAAAGGUAUUUCCUUGCAGUGAAAGAAUGUUGUAUGUACAAAAAGGUGAGCAAAAACUUACGGCUGAGUAAAGAAUUAGGUCUUUCAUGCAUUUGUACCCACUCUGGAAAGGAGUCUCUAAAUUCAUAGCUUCGUAUCAGCAAAUGCAGCAAUGGUGGGUCAGUAAGUUCGUAUGGAAGACAUCCCACCUUAUUUGUUGAAUUUUUAUAUGAAAUACUAACACCUGCAGCUACUUAAUGUGUAUCAUCAUCUACAAGUUGAUAUUCAUGGCAAAACUGAUGCGUCAAAUCAAGUCCAUAUAAAAUGACCAUAAAGCGUUUAAGCUGGUUCAAGCCCGCUAGUGAGCUUUACACAUCUUUCACCACAUUAACCUCAGCAGGGCCCUGACACUGAGCAGCGAACCAUGCGUUUGUUCAAUGGCUAACAAGAACAGGGAACACUUGGGUUGCAGUGGUGCACCACACAAUUAACCAGGCCUACAAUUCUACAAACCCAGUAACUGUGCUUUAAUUUAUGUGCUAAACCUAAAAAAAUUAGUAGGCUAUUCUACCAUAUAUAUUCGGAGAAACUUAGCCAGAGCAAGUCUAGUGUAUUACAGAACUAUAAAGUUAACACCACACAGAAAACAUGUGCAAUGUUGUAAAUUAACUCAAUAAAAGGCACGUGAUAUUAUGCAUUCGUAUAUGCAUUUUGAUGCUAUUUUCCUCGUAUCAAUUUUAGUACUACUUCUAGGUUCAUUUGGCAAAACAAAAAAAGUUGUCUCGGUUCUUACUUUCUUGAAGGGGAUAAUACUCUGCAGGCUGUGCACUGUCCUAUUCUUCAGUUUAUUCAGAUAAUUUCUACCCGAUUGAAAUUAUUAUGGUAAGAACAUUUAUCUAAUUUAGCAUCUGGUGGUCAUUUGAGUGUUUAACUGUUUAUGCACUGUGCACAUUACUGCCACUUCCGAUUAACCCAUGUCUGGAACAGCUAGCAGUGAAUGUUACAGAACUUCGACAAGGGUUGGUUUCGACGAACCAUGUCCUAGCUAAUAGCUAUACCUAGAGAACUACCAGAAACAUCAAACACACAUAGUUCAAGUGUCAAAAUGAUAGUGUUGAUAUUUAUUACUAGAUCGCAACCAACAACAUAACUAUGCACUUUGAAGACUGAUAUUAUUUAGAAAGAUAUGGACAAUAAACAACAGGAUGCAGCAACAACCAUACCAGCAUAGUCUUCCUUAUGGCUCAGCACUCCUAACUUUGAUCUCCAUUAGUUUCUCAACAGGCUGUCUGCAUAUGGGGCAUUUAUUUGAUUGGAGCCUUAGAGCUUGUGCACAUUCACUGCACAUACACUGUACAACAUAGGACCAAUCAGAUAACAACAUUAAGUAAUGUAAGUGAGAUCUGAGAAAGCAAAAGUAGAACUGCAGGCUACAAUUAGUUAUCUUACCAAAUGCCUGCAAGGAAAAACAGCAGUGUCCCUUGGCUCUGUCAGGCAGAUAACACAUUCUUUCCCCAUGCCAUCAUCGUCAGCAUCAGGAACGUCAGCUUCCGUGGAGUUGACAAUCCCAUAUAUUUCUUUCAGCUCAUAGCGCACACCAUUAAUCCACAAUAUUUGCUUGACAACUUUGACUUGAAGAUCGUCGUUAUGUUUCUCUAUAACAGCAAGUGUAAUUUGUGCCCGUGUGGGGUUUACUGUUUGACCACCUUCCUCUGGAGAUGGAGAAGCUUCCGCAUAAACUACCAGUGGGUAUACUUCCUCUGAAGGAUUUGAAAGCUCAUCCAGAGAAAAGAAUCCCAGAUCAAUACCAGAUCCAGAGGGCUGGACAUAAUUUUGAGCCAAUCCUUUCUGGAAAGGUAUCUUUGUUGGUGUCUGCAAGUCUGGGUACACUGAAGAAAAAUUGCAGUCUUUUCCUUCCUUGGCAAAGUAAUGUAUAACUAAACUGCAAUACACAAAAAUAAGUAUAAAUAUGGUCAUUAAACACUAAAGAGAGCUGGAAUAUUAAUCAGACUUGGAUUUUAUAAUAUUAACCACGCUUGAAUAUGAUCAAAACGACCAGAUACAAUUUCAUCCAGUAAAAUGGAUUUUGUAACUUGUAUAAUGAGUCAAUAUGUCAUGUACCCACGCGAACUAAUGUAAUAUGUUACACCUAUGCUACAGUAGUUCAAAAGGAACUACAAUUGCAGGUGAUGUACAAACCCGGCAUACAACAUUUUAACAUCUUAUAAAUUUUAAAUAACCCCUCCCUUUAGAGGGUUUCAGUUCAGAUUUAGUAGACUAAUCGAACAAUGCCUGUAACUCCAUCUUUUCUAAUCUAUCCUUCACGUUUGAUACAAAGGUGAAUAAGAAGUCAAUAAUUCAUGAGAUUGAAAAGCUACCCUUCACUGCUCAAAGAUUAAGAGCCUGUUUGGACUGCUCUACUCCGUAAAUUCCAGCUCCACUCUCAAAACCACAAUCCAAACGGGGUAUGAUGUCCCACUCCGCAAAAAAAACUCAAAUCUGGGGGACAGCUCCGUGUUUUUCGUGUAGCUCUUCAGGAGGUGCUCCAAAAACUCUAGUUUCAAGAGUCCUCAUGGAAUUGGGACACUGCCACUGGUAAGUGGAUAACGGUUUGUUUCUUUUUGCUGACCGGUACCCCACACACAGGCACCCCCUCCUUUUCCAUGUAUCCCUUCAUUCUCCUCCACAUCACGAACAGGGUACCGCUCCACACCCCUAGCCGCCACCGCCACGACGACAACGCUAGCGAGGCGACCACCGGAAUGGAUAGAUCCAGUGGCCCUCUUCCUCCCAACCCUGGUUUCUCAGCCCCCCUCGAGCCUCCGAGCCACGGCCCAGCGAGGAGGACCAUGGCUGCUCAAGCUUUGGCUUCGGCCGGGCACACCACCGGAACGGUCAGCAACGACCAGACUGCCGCCCCGGCAAAAUCUGGGGCACGACCUUUCCCACCAAAAUUUCGCAUUCUUGAAGCUGGAGCUAGCUAGAAGCCAAACUCUAUGGUGGAGCUGCAACUCCUGGGUGGAACUGCUCCAAACUGGAUUUGGUAGAGUGGAGCUGAUUUUGGAAGGGUGGAGCAGUCCCAAACAGGCUCUAAGCUUCACAUAGGUCAAGUUUGUAGUAUCCAAAAUUCCAACAAGAGUUCAGCCUAAAAUAUGUGCUGUAGCCCCCCCUAGGUGAACAAAACCCUACUAGUACAGGUCAGCAAGUAGGCAGUAGCUACACAAUUUAGACCAGGCAAAACAAAUCUAGCCCUGAUCUCAGCGUUGGAGACGGCCAAUUCUGACCUGCCGUCGGUGACCGCGUCGAAGGUGAAGGAGACGAGGCGGCGGUCAGGGUCGGCGGCGUCGGGCACGAGGCGGAUGGUGUCCUUGCGCAGGUUGAUGUCGUUCUUCACCUUGAGCGCCUGCUGGUGGCCGACGAACUCGGGCGGGGGGCCGGUGAGCGCGGGCAUCUGCGACGGCGGCGGCUGGG